CGGACGGGUGAGUAACGCGUGAGAAUCUGGCUUUAGGUUCGGGACAACAGUGGGAAACUGCUGCUAAUACCGAAUGUGCCUUAAUCGGUGAAAGAUUAAUUGCCUGAAGAUGAGCUCGCGUCUGAUUAGCUAGUUGGUGAGGUAAAGGCUCACCAAGGCAACGAUCAGUAACUGGUCUGAGAGGAUGACCAGUCACACUGGGACUGAGACACGGCCCAGACUCCUACGGGAGGCAGCAGUGGGGAAUUUUCCGCAAUGGGCGAAAGCCUGACGGAGCAAUACCGCGUGAGGGGGGAAGGCUCUUGGGUUGUAAACCUCUUUUCUCAGGGAAGAACAAAAUGACGGUACCUGAGGAAUAAGCAUCGGCUAACUCCGUGCCAGCAGCCGCGGUAAUACGGAGGAUGCAAGCGUUAUCCGGAAUUAUUGGGCGUAAAGCGUCCGCAGGUGGCAAUUCAAGUCUGCUGUUAAAGGUCAGGGCUCAACCCUGAACAGGCAGUGGAAACUGAAUAGCUAGAGUGCGGUAGGGGCAGAGGGAAUUCCCAGUGUAGCGGUGAAAUGCGUAGAGAUUGGGAAGAACACCGGUGGCGAAAGCGCUCUGCUAGGCCGUAACUGACACUCAUGGACGAAAGCUAGGGGAGCGAAUGGGAUUAGAUACCCCAGUAGUC
rnacentral:rRNA from 1 species